UACGGGGGAUGCAAGCGUUAUCCGGAUUUAUUGGGUUUAAAGGGUGCGUAGGCUGUGAGGUAAGUCAGCGGUCAAAGCCCGGGGCUCAACCCCGGCGAGCCGUUGAAACUGGCUGUCUUGAGAUGUCGAGAGGUAUGCGGAAUGCGCAGUGUAGCGGUGAAAUGCUUAGAUAUUGCGCAGAACUCCGAUUGCGAAGGCAGCAUACCGGCGGCGAUCUGACGCUGAGGCACGAAAGCGUGGGUAUCGAACAGG
rnacentral:rRNA from 1 species